CCACCUUCCCAGCUCUUCCACGUGUUCCUUCUGAAAACCCACUCUCCAGUCUCCCUUCAAAGAGGUUUUAAAACUAACCUUUCAAGAUUUCCUAUCUUCUAUGGACAACUUUUCUCUACUAUGCUGUCCCGGGAUAUAUCAGGGAUAGAGAGAGAGAGAGACAUGUUUUGUCUAUUUUACUUGCUGGGAUGAUGCUUCACCCCUUCGUUCAUGUUUCCAUUUCGUAAUCAGUCUAUGAAAUUCGUCAAAGAUGUAGUAGGUGGAAGACUCGUGGGAGAAAAAAGCCAACUUGGUCUGUUUGCUAGCGAUUUUAAAAAAUGUUCAAGCUUGAAAGAGCUGGAGUAUCUAUAUGCUUUGAUGAUCAAGACAAAUGCAACGCAAGAUUGUUUCCUGAUGAAUCAAUUUAUAACUGCGUCUUCAAGCAUUCGUUGUACAGAAUGGGUAAUUGCAGCCUUUGACCAGUUAAAAGAUCCCAAUACAUUUGUUUAUAAUGCAGUAAUAGGAGCCUUUCUCUGUUGUUUCCAUCCACUCCGAGCUUUAGAAAUGUAUGUAGACAUGUUGAAAACUGAGGUCAGACCAACUAGUUUCACGUUUUCAUCAAUAAUAAAGAGCAGCACUUGUUUGAAGGCUGUAGAUUUUGGAGAUUCUAUCCAUGGACAGGUUUGGAAGUGUGGAUUUGAAACUCAUCUUCAUGUUCAGACUGCUAUUAUUGAUUAUUAUUCAAAUUUUGGUAAAGUUGUUGAAGCGAGAACAGUAUUUGAUAAGAUGCCUGAGAGAGAUGGUUUUGCCUGGACAACAAUGGUUUCAGCUCAUGUCCGUUUUGGGGAUUUGAGUUCUGCUAGGAAGUUGUUUGAUGAGAUGCCCGAGAAAAAUACUGCAUCUUGGAAUACUAUGCUGAAUGGUUUUGCGAGGAUUGGUGAUGUUGAGUCUGCUAAGCAGUUGUUCAGUGGAAUACCGCAAAAAGAUUUAAUUUCAUGGACAACCAUGAUCAACUGCUACUCUCAAAACAAGCACUACAAAGAAGCACUAGAGAUUUUCAACGAGAUGAAGGAUAAUGGGAUCAGUCCUGACGAAGUGACCAUGUCAACAAUCAUUUCUUCUUGUGCUCAUCUUGGUUGGCUAGACCAAGGAAAGGAGAUACACAUGUAUGUUCUGCAAAGUGGAUUGUAUCUUGAUGUUUACAUUGGUUCAUCACUGAUUGAUAUGUAUGCAAAGUGUGGUGCCAUAGAGAGAUCCCUUGUGGUGUUCUUCAAAUUGUCCAAGAAAAACCUUUUCUGUUGGAAUUCUGUGAUUGAAGGGCUUGCAGCUCAUGGUUGUGCCAAAGAAGCUUUGGUGAUAUUUCAUAUGAUGGAGAAGGAGAAGAUAAAGCCAAAUGGCAUUACCUUUCUUAGUGUUCUUACAGCAUGUACUCAUGCUGGACUGGUUGAAGAGGGCAAAAGCAGAUUUCUUCAAAUGACUCGUGACCUUCUCAUCCCUCCUGAAAUUAAGCAUUACGGAUGCAUGGUUGAUCUGUUAAGCAAGGCUGGUUUACUUGAUGAAGCAUUGGAACUGAUAAGAAGAAUGAAUAUUGAACCAAACUCUGUCAUAUGGGGUUCUUUACUUUGUGGGUGUAAGCUUCACAAGAACUUGGAGAUUGCUCAGAUGGCUGUUGAUAAGUUAAUGCUUCUGGAGCCAAAGAAUAGUGGAUACUAUAACCUUUUAGUGAGCAUGUAUGCUGAAGCAAAUCGAUGGAGUGAGGUUGCUAGAAUCAGGGCAAACAUGAAGAACCUUGGAGUAGAAAAGAGAUAUCCUGGAUCCAGUUGGAUUGAAGUGGAGAAGAACAUAUUUCAGUUUGCUUCUUGUGACAAUUGUCAUCCAGCAUCUGAAGAAAUUUACCUGCUACUGGAUGAAUUGGUUGGGCAACUUAAGCUGACUGGUUGCGGACCUAAGUUUGAAUUUAUUUUGUGAUGGCUUCUGGUAGACCAGAGCUGAUGGUUGUCUGCUGGCAAAGUGAACUGUGGAGAGUCAUCCUGACCUUUCUCUGAGAUCUUUUUUCUUGAUUGAUUGUUUAGGCAUUUCUUAAUCCGUAGAACUUUGUGACUCCAGCAUCGGUUAAAAGGUCUAUCCAGAGACUUAGGAAACUAUUUUGAAAGGGCGUUCAGCAAAUUAUGCUCAAGUGAUGUAGUAUUUAACUGACCUUCAGAAAUAUAAGGUGAUGCAGCUUUAACUCAUGUUAUCUUUCCAUUUGGGCAAUGAAUCCCUUUGGAUAUGGAGAACGUGUGAUGCUAGGUACAAGUAUGCUUUUACCCUGAUCUGAUAGAGUGGAGAAAUGGGCUGAGGUGAUGCAAGAUUGUUACUUCCCAAUAAGGGAAUGUAUGCUAUGACUACAAGCUGUCUGGUAAGUGGAUGCCUUCUUGAAAGAGGUUGUGGAAAUGUCUUUCAGUUGUAAUGGCACCUCAGCAAGAAAAUCUCAGCUUCAUGGAAACGCAUCUCAGGUUGCUAAUGGGGCAUUAGAUGGCAUCUAGUUCAACAGCAAUAUUCAAAUGUGUCGAAACCAUAUGUUACUUUUUGUGUAUUGAUCCUACCUUGUACCCCUGAUUGACUAAGUAUAACAUUGGUACUGCCUUCUGUAAUUGCUGAGGGUAGCCAUAGGUGUUCCACUCCCUCAGGUUGACUCAAUGCUUGGGAUAGAGCUGGAUACAGGUCUUAAGAACGACUACAAUGUGUCUAGAAUACAGUGAGGUUUGUGUUUGAUUUUGAUGCGGCGACUAGCACAUCUUAACUUACUCAGAAGAAGUUUCU